rnacentral:rRNA from 1 species
CGGGCUGGACCUCUCGGGGUUACAGCCUUGCUGAAUUAUUCACCCUUGUCUUUUGCGUACUUCUUGUUUCCUUGGUGGGUUCGCCCACCACUAGGACAAACAUAAACCUUUUGUAAUUGCAAUCAGCGUCAGUAACAAAUUAAUAAUUACAACUUUCAACAACGGAUCUCUUGGUUCUGGCAUCGAUGAAGAACGCAGCGAAAUGCGAUAAGUAGUGUGAAUUGCAGAAUUCAGUGAAUCAUCGAAUCUUUGAACGCACAUUGCGCCCUUUGGUAUUCCAAAGGGCAUGCCUGUUCGAGCGUCAUUUGUACCCUCAAGCUUUGCUUGGUGUUGGGCGUCUUGUCUCUAGCUUUGCUGGAGACUCGCCUUAAAGUAAUUGGCAGCCGGCCUACUGGUUUCGGAGCGCAGCACAAGUCGCACUCUCUAUCAGCAAAGGUCUAGCAUCCAUUAAGCCUUUUUUUCAACUUUUGACCUCGGAUCAGGUAGGGAUACCCGCUGAACUUAAGCAUAUCAAUAAGCGGAGGA